GCAGAGGAAAACAAAUCAUGGAAGCCUUCUUUGAGGAGGUGGGACAGAGCAUGAGCUGACCUUGGACAAUGGGAGCCUGCUGGGGAAGGGCAAUUCUCCGAGACUCUGGAUGCCCUUUUUCUAUAAGUCAGUUGACACAGGCACUGGGCUGGUAAGACAAGACUUCUUUGAGCAGAGUCUUAAAGGACAGAAAGGAAUUUCCAAGACUGACAAGGAUGUGAGGGGAAGAGGUUACCCCACCUGA
rnacentral:lncRNA from 1 species